rnacentral:tRNA from 1 species
GGCCUCGUAGCUCAGCUGGUAGAGCAUGCGCGUACAAAGCGUAGGCGGUGUCCAUGCCUGGGUUCGAAUCCCACCGAGGCUA